AAACUAUUUAAUAAUAUCAUGAAAAUGAUUCUCAAGUAUCCUUAUUUAAAAUUUGAAAACAUCAUUUUUUCUAGUUUGAUGUUAUUGUUGCGGACCAAAUAUUUGACCACAAAUUUAAAGAAAUAAUAGAUCUAUCAAGUAAUGAUGAAGAAACAACACAUUGAAUGACAUAAUAUGUUCCCAUUAAUACAAUUAAAUGUGUCAAAAGAUUGACCCAAAAUAAUUUAUUUAAAUCUCCUACUGGUACAGACAUCACUGCUUUUUUAUUUAUCUGAA